UUCUUAUGGCAUCUGCCUCAAGGCCGCUAACCGUAUCGUCGAGAGAAACGCAUGUGUGUGAAGGAAAGGUGCAACGCGAUUAAAGACAGUUUCGAGCGGUGUUUCACACGUGAAGAGCCGAUCUGUUGAUUUGCCGGCCGGUGUGGUCGCGCGCGUUCAUUUUUUUUUUUUCCUCCUUUCUGGGGCGUCCACAGCUCGGCUUACGACGAACACCACUGCGAAAAGUAAACCAGUAAUGUCAGUCUCACGACAGUGCAUGAUGAACAGCAUCAUCGGGCGAAGUUUGCCAUCGGCCUGCAGAAGAAUCAAAGAAACACCUGCACGGAAACUACAAAAAGCCAAUCCAGAAUGAUUUCUGAAAAAUGUCUUGUUUCUGCACACACGAAUCGCCUUAAAAGCGAUGAAUAAAUCAGAGUUAUGCGACAUGCUA